CGCGUGAGUGGCGGAUGGAUUGUAUGGGUUGGUUGGAUCCUUGCUCGCGCAACGACAACCUCUCGUGCGAUCCUCUUCAAUGUCGCUUCGAAUUCGUUCUACUAUUGGGCGCGGUUGGUUUUCCUUUGUUGUGUACCAACAACGAAGGUAUUCGAUUUUCGCAAAUGUCCCUAUUUUGUCUUGUGCCGCUUGCACGGUAUGCGAUGAACCGUAAAGAAUGCCCUGUGAUCCUUGCAUCUAUCACCCAGGCGUGUGGCGUGCAUGGCUCAUGGGGCAGUGCCUGAAUGCUGGGAUACGGAACCUUAUGUGGGUAAUGGGGUCUUCGACCCACGUUUAUCUCGACUAAAGCAAUCUUGCUCGGUACGAAUGACGGUUGUGCCCGUCUUGACCGCCCGUUCACUCGGUCUGGUUCAUGCGGUGCCAACG
rnacentral:misc_RNA from 2 species